UACAGUUAGUUUUGCAGGUUUGCAUUUCAGCGUAUGUAUGUGUAUAUGGCUGUGCAAAUCCAUGCAAAACUGAUUGUGAU
ensembl:miRNA MIR19B-2 microRNA mir-19b-2